rnacentral:rRNA from 1 species
ACGGGUGAGUAAUAUGUAGGAAUCUACCUAGAGGUGCGGGAUAACUUAGGGAAACUUAAGCUAAUACCACAUAAGCCCUAUGGGGGAAAGCAGGGGAUCGAAAGACCUUGCGCCUUAUGAUGAGCCUACAUCGGAUUAGCUUGUUGGUGGGGUAAAGGCCUACCAAGGCGACGAUCCGUAGCUGGUCUGAGAGGAUGAUCAGCCACACUGGGACUGAGACACGGCCCAGACUCCUACGGGAGGCAGCAGUGGGGAAUAUUGGACAAUGGGGGCAACCCUGAUCCAGCAAUGCCGCGUGUGUGAAGAAGGCCUUAGGGUUGUAAAGCACUUUCAGUGGGGAGGAAGUUGUAGGUGAUAAUACCACUUGCAAUUGACGUUACCCACAGAAGAAGCACCGGCUAACUCUGUGCCAGCAGCCGCGGUAAUACAGAGGGUGCAAGCGUUAAUCGGAAUUACUGGGCGUAAAGGGUGUGUAGGUGGUUAGGUAAGUUAGAUGUGAAAUCCCCGGGCUUAACCUGGGAACUGCGUUUAAAACUGCUUAGCUAGAGUAUUGCAGAGGAUAGUGGAAUUUCCAGUG